AUUAAAUCAACUAAUCUCCGACGCUGAAAUAUACAAAAGAGUGAAAUCACAAUUUUGAUUAUUUCGUUCAACAAAAAUGAUUUUCGGAAAAUUAACGAAGCACACAAUUUUUAUUGAAAGAGAAAGGAAAUAAUAUGCGCAUAUUUGAAAAGAAC